UACGUGGGGGGCUAGCGUUGUCCGGAUUUAUUGGGCGUAAAGAGCGUGUAGGCGGCCCUGUAGGUCCGGCGUGAAAACUCGAGGCUUAACCUCGAGAUGUCAUCGGAAACCAUUUGGCUAGAGUCCGGAAGAGGAGAGUGGAAUUCCUGGUGUAGCGGUGAAAUGCGCAGAUAUCAGGAAGAACACCAAUGGCGAAAGCAGCUCUCUGGGACGGUACUGACGCUGAGACGCGAAAGCGUGGGGAGCGAACAGG
rnacentral:rRNA from 1 species